UGCAUGUAGAAACGAAUUUGGGCUUAGGGGGCCAAGCCCAGGCGCUGAAAAUGAGGCCAAAUGGGGGAGUCCGAAUGGAGGGUGCAUGAAGAAGUUUGUUGAAGAAUUCGGUUGAAGAAGUUGUUAAGGGUUCUGUUUGUAGGUUCUGGAAGGAAGAUUGAGAGGGUUGAAGCUUGAUGUACCUGGUGAAUCCUCGAUGCAGGGUGAGCUCUUCAGAUAUCGAAUGGGAAGAAACUCCGAUGUAGAGUUAAAGGACUUUGAUGCAGAACGAGAGAAUUUUGCAUAAAAAAAUCUCCCUCGGGUUGAAGAAGGAUUUGAAUGAGAAAUUGGAAAUUGAAGGAAAAGGAAAGUACUUGAAUGCAUGGAUUGGUAUAUGGAAAUAGUCUUGAAUGUACAUUGACCUACAUUAAAUCUCAUUUUGAAUAGUUUAGUUUUAAAAUGGAAAAUUAUAUUGAAUAUUUGGAAUUGUGUAUGGCUUGACCAUUUAAAGUGUGUUAGUUUUUAUGUACUUGAAAGUAACUUGAAUUGAAAAACAAUGGAAUCAAUGGUGAUGGAUUUGUAUGGUUAUUGUAGCAUGAUGUAUGGAAUCUUGACAAUUUGUAUGCCACAUGUAAUGAAUUGUAUGUACAUGUACACAUGUAAUGCCAUAUUUCCUUAAUGGAAAACUUCAUGGAUGAAUGAAAGAUGGAGUUUAGGA